UACGAAGGGGCUAGCGUUGCUCGGAAUCAUGUCGUGGGCGUAAAGCGGCACGUAGGCGGAUUGACUAAGUCAGGGGUGAAAAUCCUGGAGCUCAACUCCAGAACUGCCCUUGAUACUGGCGGUCGUCGAGGUCCGGGAAGAUGGUGAGUGGAACGUGCGAAGUUGUAGAGGUGAAAUUCGAUAGAUAUUCGCAAGAACACCGGUGGCGAAGGCGGCUCACUG
rnacentral:rRNA from 1 species